rnacentral:lncRNA from 1 species
GCAUGGCGCAAUGACUGGGCCAGCCAAGGCGGGGAUGGAAAGGAGGAGGUUCUCGGCCCAGUGGCUGUAUGACAUGGCGAAGCCUGUAGGAGCCGUAAACUCAUGGUGGACACGGUGGAUCUUCUCGUAGCCCCACUUGGUGUGCAGAAGACGGUGGAUCCAGUAGCUGAGGUAGUCCUCCAAGAGAGAGUAUACCACCAGCUGCGCAACUGUCUCCCUGACGGACGGCAACGGCAGUCCCAUUCGAGUCCUCAGUAUCUGGUACGUGCAUAGCAUGAACAUGCAUCAGCAUAUAUAAUUCAGUUGCUAUAGUACUAGCACGCGAAAUGAAUACGUUUAUGGUUAUUGUAAGGGUUUCAUUGAGUAGAGGACUUGUUCAGAGUGCAAACUUUAGCUUGUCCAUAUAUCCAUAGUGGUGUUCUUUCAUAAAACCAGCUCACGGCUACCCCUCUCUCUAGUUAUAUAUUUUUGCUAUGGUUUUACACGCCUUUUAUUUAGAUGUGUGUGGAGUUUGAUGCAUGCAAGAAAAUAAUUGAAUAGUUGUAUGUAUAUAUAGUAGAGACCUUGGCGGCGGCGGGAUACGAGACGAGCUGGAAGCCAACGGCGACGGGAAAGACGAACGCCGCUUCCAUAUAGCAGCGGAGGGAGGCUGCCAGCGGCACCUGUACCCGGGGCUGCAGCUUGUACGGCAGCACGACGGACGGAGCGAACUGCUCGAGGACUAGGAGGGGCAGCGGUGUGAUCGUGUAGAUGACGAAGAGGAUACAUGUAGUGAGGCAGUGGAGCCAGGAAUCUGGCAUCGCCGCCGAGUACUGAUACCACACAGCUUCCGCCCAUGUCAUGGCGCGCCCCAGCGCC